rnacentral:pre_miRNA from 1 species
GUUCUGCUGUGUGUGGAUGGUGUUCAGCACCAAGGAAAGGCAGGUUUGUUUGUCUGUAUGGAUGGUGUUCAGCACCAAGGACAGGUGUGUUUGCCU